GCACCCGCAGGAGUGACGAGUGAGUGAGUGAGCAAGACAGAGCAGCAUUGUUGGGAAGCUCUUCCUGAAGGCGGCCCAGGCUUGGCAGACUGUCUGAUCCUCAUGAGAUAUUUCUGGUAUCAGCAAUAGAACAAAGUCCAGACAGACCUGAGAACCAAACGGAACUGCAUCCUUGGAAACUACCCUCCUUUAAAAAAAACAUAGGAGCCGCCACUGGAGCCAACAAUUAUAUCUGUGCUGAGAACAAUAGAUGAAGAGUUUAUGUAAAUAAACCAUGGUGUGCCUAGGUGCAGCAAAGAAGCCAAGAUAACCGUGGAUCUAUCUGUAGAAGCACAACCACCACAUAACUACCCUUAAGAAUGACAGCUCCUGGUUUAGUAUGUGGUAGUCCUCAGCACAGAAAUUAAUUUUCAGCCGAAAUCGGCUUGAUACAUUUUCAUGUCCGCAAAUCCCAGCCGUCGUCCUUCAGGCUUCCAAAUUUUACUUAAUGCUUUUAAACCAACUUCAAGCCUCUCAUCUGUCAUCAAAUUUUCCAGGAGUGUGUAAAAACAUUUUGGGCAAUCGAAGCAUCAACAACACGUUGGGACAAUCUGUGGAUAUUAGACUGACAUCUCUAUGCACAGAAGUAGCUAUCAUCACUGGCACACCAAAUAAUCUUUGGCAGUUAACAUCUCUGGAGUCCGUACAUAUCUGGCCGCUAAACUACAUAUCCCAUGAUUCUCCUGGGAAACCUCUAAGAUUUGCGGAACGUCACUUCCGGUCCGCGCACACAAACGGAACCUAUAUGAGGGGAUAAUGGAGGACGCACUGGAGGACCCGUCACCUGACUUCCGGCGGAUCUCCUUAUAAGGAAAUCAGAACUCUAUAUGGAAACUACAUCCCCCAUAAGUCAUAGCGGCUUUACACGAAAACGGACAAAAAAAUGAACUGUACCUGUUAUCUUAUACAAUGGAUCUAGACAGCUAAGGCACCUUAUCUAAUAGUUAGGUUGUUUUCACUGUUAUAGCCCUUCUCUCCCUAUCUAUUAGAACCUUGAACAUCCGGCGGAUUUCCUUAUAUGGGCAUGCACUUUCGCCCAUUCGUACUACAUCACCCAUGAUUCCUAGCGGUUCUGUACUUUAAGGUCGAAUUAAGACCUUUUAAGGCCCUAUAAUUUAUAUCAAAUAACUAAAAUAGUAUUUAAUACAUGGGAGGUUUACUCUGUAUAAAGCAUUUAUAUAUUUUGCUGAAGUUUUGAAGUGAUGUAAUUUAGUAAUCAAUUAAUGAUGUAAUUUCCUGCUACUCACCCAUUGGAUGUCUAUAACAUAAAUAUCCAGAUUCCACACAGUACAAACAGUUCUUGAAAAAGGUCCUCUUGAAAGACCGAAACGCGUUGAACAAUUAGUACUGUGAGUAACCUGGGACGUUUUUAAAAAAAAUCGGACCUGUCUUUUUAGUGUUUGAAUUUUUGUUUAUUUUUGUGAUAAUUGUAUUAUCACAUUUUAAUA